ensembl:snoRNA Gm22193 small nucleolar RNA SNORD111
CAGCCUGAAGUGAUGAGUCACAAUCAUGUCUCUUCUCUGAAGAAUUCGUGGAGAGUCUGUGUAUCUGAUCAGGCCU